UCCCCUGUGGCGCAAUUGGCUAGCGCGUAAGACUGUUAACUUCUGAAUUUCACUUAUAGUUCCGCGAUCUUGAGGUUGGAGAUUCAACCCCUCCUGGGGGAG